UCACAUCUUAUCGAGAGAGAUCAGGAAUCAGAGUGAUCAGCUGUCUCGCAUUUAUUAUCAUUAUAGUUGUUGUUGAUGAAUUUCAUGAUUGCUGGAGUUUGAACGUGGAGAAAGAAGCGACUGCGGAGACUGAAGCGAAAAAGGAGGAAGAUGAGGCAAAGGUCUAAAUAAACAACAAGGGAGUCAAAAUAAGCACUUCACCUCCUUGCCAGAAACAAACAACAGAGUGGCCAGGACUUUCAAGCUGUAUGAAAUAUUGUUGAAGUCUGAGAUUGCUGUAUUGACAUUGACUAUGAAUAAUGGACAGUGACUUUUGCAUAGUGGUUGUACAAAUGUGGUUUUAUAUGUAGUAUUGAAAAAUGAUCAACCUGGAUUGGUGGCAUCAUGAUCAGAUACCAGUGCUAUCACCUGAUUCACCAAUAUUAUCUCAAAAGGCUGCGCCAUAGCUUAAGCGGGUAGUCGCUGGCUUCCCACCGCUGCGGUUCAG